UCCAGUUGGCGUGAGCACUCUUCUCGGUCCCUACUAUUAUUAUUUGUCAUUUUUGCUUUGACGACUUGGUUCUGCAACCCCAACCCAGCUCAGAGUUGUCCAAAGCUCCUCACACUUCACCACCCGAUGUCCCCGGGAGCUGUCAGCCUCACCAGCUCUCCGCCAGUGCCGGUCCCCACGGAGCCUUCACCUGUCCAUAUCGUUCAGCUGCCUGCAACUUCCGACUGACGAACACGCACAGCUCUGCGGCCCAGUGACAAACACCAUCUCACAGAUAAGGCUUCUGAAAAGUCAAAGCCAAUCCAGCGUCCACUGAAAAUGUAAUGCCGGGUCCAUCGUUGCCCAUCAUUCUCCCGACUGUUGCUCAUGUCCCAAGAGGCCCUUGAAG